AUUGAACGCUGGCGGCAGGCCUAACACAUGCAAGUCGAGCGAGCGGCGGACGGGUGAGUAAUGUCUGGGACACUGCCUGAUGGAGGGGGAGAACUACUGGAAACGGUAGCUCAUACCGCAUACCAUCAGAUGAACCCCAAUGGGAUUAGCUUGUAGGUGAGGUACCGGCUCCCCUAGGCGACGAUCCCUAGCUGGUCUGAGAGGAUGAUCAGCCACACUGGGACUGAGACACGGCCCAGACUCCUACGGGAGGCAGCAGUGGGGAAUAUUGCACAAUGGGCGCAAGCCUGAUGCAGCCAUGCCGCGUGUAUGAAGAAGGCCUUCGGGUUGUAAAGUACUUUCAGUCGGGAGGCGUUACCGACAGAAGAAGCACCGGCUAACUCCGUGCCAGCAGCCGCGGUAAUUC
rnacentral:rRNA from 1 species